AGAGUUUGAUCCUGGCUCAGGAUAAACGCUGGCGGCGUGCCUAACACAUGCAAGUCGCACGCGCUUCGCAAGAAGCGAGUGGCGGACGGGUGAGUAACACGUGGGAACCUACCUUGAGGUGAGGGAUACCGGCGAGAAAUCGCCGACAAGCCCGCAUAGGCUUCUCUUGGGAAGCAAAGCUCCUUUUCGGAGGGGCGCCACAGGAUGGGCCCGCGGCCGAUUAGCUAGUUGGUGGGGUAAGAGCUCACCAAGGCAUCGAUCGGUAGCUGGUCUGAGAGGACGAUCAGCCACACUGGGAUUGAGAACGGCCCAGACUCCUACGGGGGGCAGCAGUGAGGAAUUUUCCGCAAUGGACGAAAGUCUGACGGAGCAACGCCGCGUGCAGGAAGACGGCCUUCGGGUUGUAAACUGCUUUUCUGUGGGGAGAGUUCGGACGGUACCACAGGAACAAGCCCCGGCUAACUACGUGCCAGCAGCCGCGGUAAUACGUAGGGGGCAAGCGUUAUCCGGAGUUACUGGGCGUAAAGGGCACGCAGGCGGUCAAGUAAGUGUGCGGGGACAGUGGGCGGCUUAACUGCCCAAGGGUCGCACGGACUGCUUGACUGGAGGGCCAGAGAGGGACCUGGAAUUCCGGGUGGAGCGGUGAAAUGCGUAGAGAUCCGGAGGAACACCAAGGGCGAAGGCAAGGUCCUGGCUGGUUCCUGACGCUGAGGUGCGAAAGCCAGGGGAGCGAACGGGAUUAGAUACUCCGGUAGUCCUGGCCGUAAACGAUGGCGACCAGAUGGGGGGGGCUUCGACCCCGUCCCCGUCGCGGCAAACGCGAUGAGUCGCCCGCCUGGGGAGUACGGCCGCAAGGCUAAAACUUAAAGGAAUUGACGG
rnacentral:rRNA from 1 species